ensembl:miRNA
UCCUUCUUGUAUAAGCACUGUGCUAAAAUUGCAGAAACUAGGAUCACUUCUUGGUUUUUGUAAUAAUGCUAGCAGAGUACACACAAGAAGAAA